rnacentral:rRNA from 1 species
UUGGAUUAGAUACCCUGGUAGUCCACGCCCUAAACGAUGUCAACUGGUUGUUGGGUCUUCACUGACUCAGUAACGAAGCUAACGCGUGAAGUUGACCGCCUGGGGAGUACGGCCGCAAGGUUAAAACUCAAAGGAAUUGACGGGGACCCGCACAAGCGGUGGAUGAUGUGGAUUAAUUCGAUGCAACGCGAAAAACCUUACCUACCCUUGACAUGUCCAGGAGCCUGAAGAGAUUUGGGUGUGCCCGAAAGGGAACUGGAACACAGGUGCUGCAUGGUUGUCGACAGCU